CGGGGAAGGGGAGGACGCGAAGCGAAAGGGAGGGCGGCUGUAGUAAUAGCGCAUAGUAGUUGAGCUCUGUGGAGAAGGUGCUGGAAUUUAACUAUGCCUCCGCCUGCCACCGCGAGCCUGCAGAGAGAAAGGGAGGGGACGGGGAGGGAUCGGAGUGGCACCAAAGCUGUUUGUGGCCCGGUGUUGACUGUGGAGAAAGCGGGCAUUAUCGUGCCAGCUGAAACUUUUUCGCCUCCCCAUCCCCCAAGGCUGUCAUUAUAAAUCUGCCUCCUCCUCUCCACCCCAUAAAAAGGGAGGCGGGCACAAAGAACAUUCCUGCCAAAUCUGCCUCUUCUCUGAAGGGCGGCGAGAGCUUCCAAAUGCCAGUGAAGGAGGAACAGCUGAGAGGCCAGGCCGAGCGCCUUAUAAAUAAAUAAACCCGCCCUGACCCUUCUGUUGACUUGGUGGACUAGACACUGCACUUUAACCUUCCCUCACCUGUCAUCUUCGGAUUAUAGUCUCUUCUCUCUCACUCUACAUUUAAAACCAAUUAAGGAUGCAAACUGUAAUCUGUCGGCACAUCGCGGUUUUGAGACCUCUUUAAUUUUUCUUGAAAUACAGUACGUUGGUCGGACCCACAGAAAAUCACACACAAAAGCAAAUAUGGUUGGAAGCUAAGAGGACUCCAGGAGGUUGCACAGACUGCUCUGUUCCCAUGAAGCUUUUCUUUUUGGACUUUGAUGAGUCAUAAUAUGGUCUCUGAAUUUCCUCCUCUCUUUUUAGUUUGGUAUCAAGGGGUGAAGGUGGCUUUUUCAGGUCUCAGUGGCCACAUUUGCUUGUUACGCCAGAAGUUGUGCAAUGACCCUUUCACAUGCUGUUUCAAGAAAACUGAGAGGCAGUGCAAGGAGAAUAUGAAAAAAAACUUGAAUAUGACUAAAUGAAGUCAGAAUUUUUAAUUCAGCUUGGUAGAAGUACAGAUUAAGAGUGAUAUGUUUUGCUCAUGUAAAAACUCUCAUAAUUUGUUAUCAAUACAAGGUUCUUAAUCCAUGGUGAAGAGUUUGUGGGGGUGGAAUUUAAAUGAUGUUCAGAGCAUUUCAGAAUUCCCAAAAACUGUUCAAAAUUCUGUGAUCAUGUUAACAUGCAUUUUUUUUAUAUACCAAGUGCAUACAUUUCACCAGACUCUCAAGAAGAUCUUCUCUAAAGGGAUUAGGAAUUACCGACAAAAAGAAACCUAAUGAUCUAAGAUAAUUUUCUAAUAAGAAAUCAAUCCUCGCCGUGACUAUUAUAAAACAAAGUGUACACAUUUCGUGCAUCCAAACACAUCUAUUCUUAGAAAUACCCUGUAGAACUCAAUAGCAAAACAUCUCCUUUCUGCCCAGUGGAAGUCUUCAUUUGUUUCCACAAAUGGGCUUCCUGAGGAUAAUUUGAUUCAGAAGGAUUUUCCCAAUAAUAUCCUUACGUAUUGUUGACUAGAUAAGAGAGAAUUGUUAAGUGUUGUCAUCAACAUGUCUUGGAGGCUUUGGCACAUCAUUGGGCAGUUGCACAUUAAAAAUCAGAAGAUGACCUCAGGUUCCAAAGGUUUUUUGUCAUAAAUCAUUCAAAUACAUUAACUUUUGUUUGGAUGGCCAUGGUACUGACUGCUUUUAUAUUUGAACUGUGUUUCUCUGAAUGAUAAUGUGCUUUUGUACCAAUGUGACACUGUGGUUUACCUCUGAGCCUCUCAACUACAUAUGUGUAUCUAUCUCCCGUGUUGUAUUUUAUCAAAGUAUUUUGCUUCUUGAUUAUCUUCAGCUAUUACUAGAUUUAUUUCUUUCUGUUGCUAUGCAUUGCCUUUUAUUUGUAUGUGACCUUUCCUUGAUGUGUUACAUGACUCCUAAGAUUCUUACCUCAAGUUCAGUACACAAAAGCAAAAUCUACUAUCGUCUUAUUUCCUUUUUCUAUGCUUAAUAGUCUAAAUUUAAGAAAUAAGUAGCAAAUAAUCCAGGAAUAUAUAAAAAACCAGAAAUAACUAUUGAAAUUACCUUAGAUGAAUUUAAAGAAAUUAAGAUAAAUAAUCUGCUUUAAGGAAAAAAGACUCUCCACAGGUAGAGAUGAAAUACAUUCCACAACAGUAUGGUUUUAUUUUAGUUUUCAAUGGUAUUACCAGCCAGAAAGUGAUGAAUAUAUAAAACAAGUAUAAGAAAUUUGGGAAAGGGUUGAAAGUAUCUGGAUUCUGUAUGGUGCAAGGUUUAAUGCUGGGUAGGAAGCAUUUAUCUCCCUUUUAGAUAAACUCAGUUACUGAACAGUUACUGACUUCAGUGAAGGAAGGGCAUAAAGAAAAUCCUCACAUUUCUUCUGGAAUUGUACAUAUUCAAUUGCUUAUCUCUCCAGAGACAUUGUGAUAUCUGUUGGAAUUUUACUAUUAUGAAGACUAUUUAUGGCCUUUUGGUAAUAGGCUUUCCUUAAAUAUGGAAAAAGAAAACAGGAGAUUUGCUGAUAAGAUAAAAGAACAUCAUACCUUUUUUUGUCGUUAUUUCAUACUUGGGACUUAGGGUUUGGGGAUAUGUCUGAUUUUUUUUUUUUGGUACAGGGUGUUUACACUGAGCUAUAACCCUUCCCCCCUUUAAUUUUGGACAGGGUCUCCAUCCCUCUGUCUCAGCCUCCCAUAGCCAUCUGAAUCUUAAAGAGGUUGGUACCUCACACUUUAUCUAUAUUUUAUUAAAAUGCAUUAAAAAUUAUCUACCUGUCAGUGAGAUCUGUCUUAUUUAAUACCUCAAUUUUAUGAUGUGACUUAUGAACUGACAUUACUAACAACCACCAUUACCUGGAAUUCUGCAUUUCCCAUGGUCUGUAUCAAUGUUUAUUAUUUCCCAAGAAUGUAAGACUAGAACAUUGGACUGUAAGUUCUUUUUGUUGUUGUUGUUGUUUUUUGGUACCGGCGAUCAAAUUCGGGUCCUUGCACUUGUGCAGCAGCCGGCGAAACCACUGAGCUAAAUCCCCGGCCCCUGGACUGUAAGUUCUUAAUGCUAACAUAAUUUAAACAAAAACUAUUGAUCAAUUGAGGAAAGUAAUUAAGUAGUGAAACUAUAACUUAAUAAUCUAGAUAAAUGAUUAUUUAAUCUUUCAAACAGCCUUCAAAUGCAAAUAUCACCAAUAUUUGAGCUAUCACAGACCAUAUACCAACUUCUUACUUUGAGGAGUAACUCUACAACUUUUUAUAAUAGCAGUACUUAAAAAAUACAUACCAACUUUAAGAUCUCUGGUUCCAUGCACAAAAUAAGCAUAGUAUACUAGAAUACGUGGUUGAAUGAAUUGCCCACAGCCACCCAUGAAGAUUAGAAUCUUGGCGUCCUGAGUUGCAAUCUCCUAUUCCAUACUGUUUCCCUUAAAAAAAGAAAAGUCUCCAAAAUCAACUUCUGCAGCUCAGUGACAGCCAUGAAUGCCCAACUGAUGAACUGGGCUCAGUGCCACAUAUGCAUGCUAUCACAUGUAUUUAAAUGGAUCAUGGAUUUCAAACUAUUUUACCAACUACUCACAAUGAGAAAUGCAUAUCAUGACCUAGUGUAUGCAUACUUACAUAGAGGAUUGUAUCAGUCAGAGUCUAACCAGGAAAUUUAGUUCAGGGACUUGUUUGUACUGAUGAUGAUAAGAAAUCACAUAAUGAACUGAGUAGCAACAGUAAGAAAUCAAUUUUCCCUAAGUUGGGGAACCGAGGGAUGAGGAAGAACUAAAAUCUGAAACCCUGGUGUGUGAUGGUGGUGAUGCAACUUUUGCUUGAGUCAAAGGGAAGAAGGAAAUACCUUGACUUUAUUUAUUUUUAUUUUUUUUGUACCGGGGAUCGAACUUGGAACCUUGCGCUUGUGAGGCAGGCGGCAGCACCACUGAGCUAAAAUUUAAGUGACACAUAAAACUCUACACAUUUAUGGGAUACUAUGUGAUACUCUGACAAACUGCAUACAUUUUGUAAUCUUCAAAUCAGGGUAAGCAUAUCUAUGUCCUUAAAUAUUUAUUUCUUUGUGGUAAAAACAUUCCAAAUCCUUUCUUGUGGCUUAGCUGAACUACACAGUACAUUAUCAUUAUCUAUUUUCGUGGCACUGUACAAUAGCACAUGAGAACUGAUUUCUUCCAUCUACCUGUAACUUAGUUCCUGUUGGUCAGCUUGCCCCUCCCUCCUUUCUUGCUACUUUGCCUACCCUCUGGUGACUACUACUCUCCUCUCAACUUCUAUACGAUUUUUAAAGAAUCUACAUAUGAGUGUGAUCCUGUUGGGGAUACCUUGUCUUCUCCCUCCUGUCCUGCAGUCCAGUCUCUGCUUGUCUGCCUCUCAUAGGCUGAAUUCAGCUGGCACAGGAACCUGGGAAGUGCAACCCCCAAAGGUCAGUCUCCUCUUACCUUAUACAGCUGAGCAGAAGAAUGAGGCAGGAUGCUGAGAUCCAACAGAUACAGUAACUAAUAUGAAGUUUCCUGAAACAGUGCUUACUUAUAGAGCUUACUAAGUGCAAUGCCCUCUGAAGUUAGUAUUUUUUAUUCUUUCUUUUAACUUAGACAUGCCUCAUAAUGACUCAUAAUUCAACAAUGAGUGGAAAAAUACUCUUUGGACCAGUGGGAGAUACAUUUCAAUAACUUUUUGCCCUUAUCUAAAUAUUCUGCUUUUAGGACAGGUUAUUAAGACAUGGUCUUAUGGUCAAGAGUUUAUGGGUUAUAUGAGUCUUACUCAAAUAAAAAUUUCCCCCUAACUCCCAUACUCGGACUGUUUAAAUACGUAGAUACAAAGUAAUAGCAAUGAUGACAAUGAAAUACACAAAGCAAUCUCAGUUCUUUUUCCAAAAUCAGCAAAAGCCAGAAAUUAUAAAUACUUAAUAAUUUUCCUGUUUUUUCUUCACAGACAUAACAUCAAGCACCAGGUUAUGACUUUAUAAUAGAAUCAUUCUUUGUAAAUAAUUUUAACAAAGACACUGGUAGUACAUAAGCCAGGAUUAAUACAUAUUUUUGGAAAUCUAGCAAAAUGGAUACACCUUAAUUCAAAUUAUUUAACAAUGAAAUGUUAUGAUCAUAGUCUUGUGUAAGUAUCAUGUCACAUAUUAUGCUAACAGUAAAACCUAUAAAAUCUGCCCAGCUUGGUUAGAGAUCAGAUUUUCAAGUAACUCUCUCAGGGCCAGUGUUUUAGUAGGCUCAUGAUGGAUUUAUUGACUGUUGGCCAUGAUCAAGAGAAUAGUGUCUGGUCUCUGUUAAUAUGUGAAAUAGUAUUCAGGGUACUUUGAAAAUGGGGAAAAAAUAUCUACAAAUACCUCCAUUUACGAUUCUUCCUAUUAACAUAAACUGUGAAACUUGUUAGGCAGCUUACAACCUAAACACCUGAAAUGAAUUGUCAAUGCAUUCUAUUAAUUGUUUAUUAGAGGAAUUUUAGAGUUCUUUUAAAUUCACAUCAGAAUUGAAGGGAAGGCACAGGGAUUUCUCAUAUACUCCCACCCUGUCAUGCCUAACUCCCCCAUUAUCGACAUUCUCUACAAGAGUGGUAUAUUUGUUAUGAUCGUGCCUAUACAGACACAUCAUAAUACUCAAAGUUCACAAUUUACAUGGGGGUUUACUCUGGGUGUUCUAUAUUUCUAGGUUUGAACAAAUGGAUAAUAACAUCCACUAUUACAGUAUCAUGCAAGUUAUUUUCACUACCCUAAUAAUCCUCUAAGUUCUGCAUCUUAAUUCCUCCCCUUAACCCCAAUCACUGAGAACCAGUGAUCUUUUUACUUGUUUCCAUAGUUUUCCUGUCCCUAGAAUGUAAUAUAAUUUUGUUUUGGAUUUUUUGAGACAGGAUUUCACUAUGUUCAGGCUGGCCUUGAAGUCAUGGCAAUCUUCCUGGCUCAGCCUCCCAAGUGCUGGGACUACAGACAUGCACCACCACGCCUGGCUCACAUCACAAAGUAUAGCGCCUUUUUAGAUUGGCUUCUUUUGCUUAGUGGCAUGUAUUUAAAUUUCCUCCGUGUCUUUUCAUGGGCUCAUAGCUCAUUUAUUUUUAGCACUGAUACAUCCAUUGUCUGGAUGUGUCAAAGUUUCUGCACAACUUGAUUACCUCCAGGUUUUGGCAUUUAUGAAUAAGGCUACUAUAAGCACCUGAAUGGAGGCUUUGGCAUGCAUAUAUGUUUUCAUCUCUAUAAGUAAGUACCUUGAUAAGUGGUAAGUACCAUGAAACUGGAUCAUACAUACAGCAAGAAUAUGUUUAAUUUUGUGAGAAACCAAAUUAUCUUUUAGACAUGAGUGAGCGUUCCUGUUCCACAUACUCUCCACCUUCUGCUAUUGUUAAUGUUCUGGGUUUUGGCCACUCUAAAAAGUGUGUAAUAGUAUGUUGUUAUUUUAAUUUAUAUUUUACUAAUGAUAUAUGAUGCAGAGCAUGUUUUUGAUCUGCUUACCUUCUUCAGUGAGGUCUCUUUAAGAUCUUUGGCUCAUUUUAAGUGGCAUUGUGCUAACAUUUGGAUUUUGCUUGUCCCCCAAGGGUCUAUGUAUUGGAGGCUUGGUCCACAGUUUAGCAAUGUCAGGGGGUCUGAUCUUAAAGAGCUGGGCCUAGUGGGAGUUCUUUAGAUCUUUGAGGGAACUAUCUUUGGAAGGGAAAGCUGGUCUCCAGUGAGUUUUCACGAGUGAGUUGUUAUAAUGCCUGAGCCAACCUCUGAGUUUCUCUCUCACUGUUUGGCAAUGUGAUUGUUUCUUUCCACAGAUGCUGCCACUAUUGCCAUUUGACAUGUGAUUCAGCUAACAGCAUCCUCCCUUGAACUGAGUCAAUACCAUGCUUUCAACCUCCAAAACUGUCAGCAAAUAGAACUUUUUUCUUCAUAACUUUAUCUGCCUUGGUACUUUAUUACAGCAAUGCAAAAUGAUGUUGCAUGAUGAGUUCUUUGUAUGUUUGGAAUACUAUUCCUUUAUCCAAUGUGUUUUGAAAAUAUUUUCUCCCAGUU